rnacentral:rRNA from 1 species
UACGUAGGUGGCAAGCGUUGUCCGGAUUUAUUGGGUUUAAAGGGUGCGUAGGCGGCUUUGUAAGUCAGUGGUGAAAUAUGGCAGCUCAACUGUCAAGGUGUCAUUGAUACUGCGGAGCUUGAGUACAGAUGAGGUAGGCGGAAUUGACGGUGUAGCGGUGAAAUGCUUAGAUAUCGUCAAGAACACCUAUAGCGAAGGCAGCUUACUAGGCUGUAACUGACGCUGAGGCACGAAAGUGUGGGGAUCAAACAGG